GGGCUGGGUAAGACGGGUGCCAGCCGCCGCGGUAAUACCUGCAGCCCAAGUGGUGUCGAUUUUAUUGAGUCUAAAACGUUCGUAGCCGGUUCGGUAAAUCUUUGGGUAAAUCGGGGGGCUUAACCUCCCGACUUCCGAGGAGACUGCCGAACUUGGGACCGGGAGAGGCUAGAGGUACUUCUGGGGUAGGGGUAAAAUCCUGUAAUCCUAGAAGGACCACCGGUGGCGAAGGCGUCUAGCUAGAACGGAUCCGACGGUGAGGGACGAAGCCCUGGGUCGCAAACGGGAUUAGAUACCCCGGUAGUCCAGGGUGUAAACGCUGCAGACUUGGUGUUGGAGGCCCUUUGGGGGCAUUCAGUGCCGGAGAGAAGUUGUUAAGUCUGCUACUUGGGGAGUACGUCCGCAAGGAUGAAACUUAAAGGAAUUGGCGGGGGAGCACCCCAACGGGAGGAGCGUGCGGUUUAAUUGGAUUCAACACCGUAAAACUCACCAGGGAAGACUGUUACAUGAAGGCCGGGCUAAAGACUCUGCCAGAUUUUCAGAGAGGUGGUGCAUGGCCAUCGUCAGUUCGUACCGUAAGGCGUUCUCUUAAGUGAGAUAACGAACGAGACCCUCACCGAUAAUUGCUACUUAUCCCUCCGGGAGUAAGGCACAUUAUCGGGACCGCUGGCGCUAAGUCAGAUGAAGGAGAGGUCAACGGUAGGUCAGUAUGCCCCGAAUUUCCUGGGCUAAUGGCAAGGGCG
rnacentral:rRNA from 1 species